rnacentral:tRNA from 1 species
GCUGUUAUGCUGGAACUGGCAGACAGAGUGGAGUUAAAAUCCGCUGGGCAAAAAUGCACAUGUAGGUUCAAAUCCUACUAACAGCA